AGAGUUUGAUCCUGGCUCAGGACGAACGCUGGCGGCGUGCCUAACACAUGCAAGUCGAGCGGGGAUAUAUUUUAACACUGAGCGUCUCAUAGGGGAUGGGAUGUUGAGUGUUAAGAUAUAUCCUAGCGGCGGACGGGUGAGUAACGCGUGAGUAACCUGCCUUCAAGAGGGGAAUAACACUCUGAAAGGAGUGCUAAUACCGCAUAAUGUCAAAGAUAAGCAUUUGUUUUUGACCAAAGAUUUAUCGCUUGAAGAUGGACUCGCGUCCGAUUAGCUAGUUGGUGAGGUAACGGCCCACCAAGGCGACGAUCGGUAGCCGAACUGAGAGGUUGAUCGGCCACAUUGGGACUGAGACACGGCCCAGACUCCUACGGGAGGCAGCAGUGGGGGAUAUUGCGCAAUGGGGGAAACCCUGACGCAGCAACGCCGCGUGAAGGAAGAAGGUCUUCGGAUUGUAAACUUCUUUGACGAGGGAAGAUAAUGACGGUACCUCGAAAACAAGCUCCGGCUAACUACGUGCCAGCAGCCGCGGUAAUACGUAGGGAGUGAGCGUUGUCCGGAAUUACUGGGUGUAAAGGGCGUGUAGGCGGUAUAUCAAGUCAGAUGUGAAAUUCCCGGGCUUAACCCGGGCGCUGCAUUUGAAACUGAUGUACYUGAGUGCUGGAGAGGAAAGCGGAAUUCCUAGUGUAGCGGUGAAAUGCGUAGAUAUUAGGAGGAACACCAGUGGCGAAGGCGGCUUUCUGGACAGUAACUGACGCUGAGGCGCGAAAGCGUGGGGAGCGAACAGGAUUAGAUACCCCUGGUAGUCCACGCUGUAAACGAUGAUUACUAGGUGUGGGAGGUAUCGACCCCUUCCGUGCCGCAGUUAACACAAUAAGUAAUCCACCUGGGGAGUACGGCCGCAAGGUUGAAACUCAAAGGAAUUGACGGGGGUCCGCACAAGCAGUGGAGUAUGUGGUUUAAUUCGAAGCAACGCGAAGAACCUUACCAGGGCUUGACAUCCUACUAACGAAGCAGAGAUGCAUAAGGUGCCCUUCGGGGAAAGUAGAGACAGGUGGUGCAUGGUUGUCGUCAGCUCGUGUCGUGAGAUGUUGGGUUAAGUCCCGCAACGAGCGCAACCCUUACGAUUAGUUGCUACGCAAGAGCACUCUAAUCGGACUGCCGUUGACAAAACGGAGGAGGGUGGGGACGACGUCAAAUCAUCAUGCCCCUUAUGUCCUGGGCUACACACGUACUACAAUGGCGGUCAACAGAGGGACGCAAAGCCGCGAGGUGGAGCAAAUCCCCAAAAGCCGUCUCAGUUCAGAUCGCAGGCUGCAACCCGCCUGCGUGAAGUCGGAAUUGCUAGUAAUCGCGGAUCAGCAUGCCGCGGUGAAUACGUUCCCGGGCCUUGUACACACCGCCCGUCACACCAUGAAAGUCGGUAACACCCGAAGUCUGUAGUCUAACCGCAAGGGGGACGCAGCCGAAGGUGGGAUUGAUAAUUAGGGUGAAGUCGUAACAAGGUAACCGU
rnacentral:rRNA from 1 species